AUUGAACGCUGGCGGCAGGCCUAACACAUGCAAGUCGAACGGUAACAGGAAACAGCUUGCUGUUUCGCUGACGAGUGGCGGACGGGUGAGUAAUGUCUGGGAAACUGCCUGAUGGAGGGGGAUAACUACUGGAAACGGUAGCUAAUACCGCAUAACGUCGCAAGACCAAAGAGGGGGACCUUCGGGCCUCUUGCCAUCGGAUGUGCCCAGAUGGGAUUAGCUAGUAGGUGGGGUAACGGCUCACCUAGGCGACGAUCCCUAGCUGGUCUGAGAGGAUGACCAGCCACACUGGAACUGAGACACGGUCCAGACUCCUACGGGAGGCAGCAGUGGGGAAUAUUGCACAAUGGGCGCAAGCCUGAUGCAGCCAUGCCGCGUGUAUGAAGAAGGCCUUCGGGUUGUAAAGUACUUUCAGCGGGGAGGAAGGGAGUAAAGUUAAUACCUUUGCUCAUUGACCUUGCCCGCAGAAGAAGCACCGGCUAACUCCGUGCCAGCUACCACGGUAAUACGGACGGUGCAAGCGUAAAUCGGAAUUACUGGACGUAAAGCGCGUUCAGGAGGUUUGUUAAGUCUGAUGUUGAAUUCCCCGGGCUCACCCUGGGGACCUGCAUCUGAUACUGCCCAAGCUUGACCUCCGUCGAGGGGGGUAGAAUUCCAGGUGUAGCGGUGAAAUGCGUAGAGAUCUGGAGGAAUACCGGUGGCGAAGGCGGCCCCCUGGACGAAGACUGACGCUCAGGUGCGAAAGCGUGGGGAGCAAACAGGAUUAGAUACCCUGGUAGUCCACGCCGUAAACGAUGUCGACUUGGAGGUUGUGCCCUUGAGGCGUGGCUUCCGGAGCUAACGCGUUAAGUCGACCGCCUGGGGAGUACGGCCGCAAGGUUAAAACUCAAAUGAAUUGACGGGGGCCCGCACAAGCGGUGGAGCAUGUGGUUUAAUUCGAUGCAACGCGAAGAACCUUACCUGGUCUUGACAUCCACAGAACUUUCCAGAGAUGGAUUGGUGCCUUCGGGAACUGUGAGACAGGUGCUGCAUGGCUGUCGUCAGCUCGUGUUGUGAAAUGUUGGGUUAAGUCCCGCAACGAGCGCAACCCUUAUCCUUUGUUGCCAGCGGUCCGGCCGGGAACUCAAAGGAGACUGCCAGUGAUAAACUGGAGGAAGGUGGGGAUGACGUCAAGUCAUCAUGGCCCUUACGACCAGGGCUACACACGUGCUACAAUGGCGCAUACAAAGAGAAGCGACCUCGCGAGAGCAAGCGGACCUCAUAAAGUGCGUCGUAGUCCGGAUUGGAGUCUGCAACUCGACUCCAUGAAGUCGGAAUCGCUAGUAAUCGUGGAUCAGAAUGCCACGGUGAAUACGUUCCCGGGCCUUGUACACACCGCCCGUCACACCAUGGGAGUGGGUUGCAAAAGAAGUAGGUAGCUUAACCUUCGGGAGGGCGCUUACCACUUUGUGAUUCAUGACUGGGGUGAAGUCGUAACAAGGUA
rnacentral:rRNA from 1 species